rnacentral:rRNA from 1 species
UACGUAGGGUGCGAGCGUUGUCCGGAUUUAUUGGGCGUAAAGAGCUCGUAGGCGGUUUGUUGCGUCGGCUGUGAAAUCUCCACGCUUAACGUGGAGCGUGCGGUCGAUACGGGCAGACUUGAGUUCGGUAGGGGAGACUGGAAUUCUUGGUGUAGCGGUGAAAUGCGCAGAUAUCAGGAGGAACACCGGUGGCGAAGGCGGGUCUCUGGGCCUGUCCUGACGCUGAGACGCGAAAGCGUGGGGAGCGAACCGG